rnacentral:rRNA from 1 species
UACAGAGGUGGCAAGCGUUGUUCGGAAUUACUGGGCGUAAAGCGCGUGUAGGCGGCUCUUCAAGUCAGGCGUGAAAGCCCUGGGCUCAACCCAGGAACUGCGCUUGAUACUGUCGAGCUAGAGUGUGGAAGGGGCGAUUGGAAUUCCGUGUGUAGCGGUGAAAUGCGUAGAUAUACGGAGGAACACCAGAGGCGAAGGCGGAUCGCUGGGCCAACACUGACGCUGAGACGCGAAAGCUAGGGUAGCAAACGGG